rnacentral:lncRNA from 1 species
UUCGAAAAUUAAUAAAUAAAUACUAAAAAUCCAAUUUAAGCCCAUAAUGCCUGAUUGGAGCCCGAAACGGGUCGGAAAAAAAUCCCGAAAUGCAUUCAAUAAAUAGUAGUACAUCUCUAUUUGCUAAUUGCACAAUUCAAUUGCCUAACAUGCAUCACAAUUAUCUAAUAAUCACUAAUCUACUCUAAUCUAACCACCUAAUUGCACUUAAUUAAAUCUAAUCAACCCUUAAGCAUCAUUAGUCUAUUAAGCAAUGAUUAGUGAGAUUACUCACUUGAUUAAAAGCGGGGACCGGAUCACCGCGAUGGUGGUCGAAACCCGAACUUUCGGCGGCAUCGACGGACACUCGGGCUGGGCCUACAAGCCUCACAAGCCCACUGAAAUUUCUGGGCUUAGACUGAACUUGGGCCUAAGCUUGGGUUGACUUGCUUCGCGGGCUUGGGCUGCUGAACUUUUGGGCUAAACUUCAAGUGAGCUGGGAUUGGGCCUUAAACACUGGGCUUGCUGGACUUCAAUGGAGCUGCUGAAAUGGGCUGAUUUCUUAUGGGCCGAGCUGUAGAUAGGCUCAAAGGAGCUGCUGGGUCAGAAGAUGUUGGGCUAAAGACGUGCGAACAUGCUGGACCGAAUUCGCUGGAGGUGCUGCUUCGCUUAGGGGAGCUCACGCGGACGAGUGGCUACUGCUUCGUGGAGAUGAGCCCACGUGAGGAGUCAACAAUUGAAGGUUGGCGUUGGAGAAGUUGCUGUGGUGUUUACCAAGGGCGAUGAUGCUGGCAGCUGCUUCGCAGGAGGAUCGGCGGUAUCGGCUGUAGGGGAAAAACUGUGGAGAUGGGAGUUGGGAGCUUCUGCGGAGACGUGUGGACGUGGAGAGAUGAGCAGUCAGCUGCGACUCGUUUCAAUUGCUUCGCUGGGUGACACAUGGGCAGCAGCUUUGGUCAAUCGCUUGGGCUUCACUGGCUGGAGAUUGACCGAAGAAACAAGAGAUGUUGGAGCAGAACCGAUGGAAGUUGCUAGAUCCGCGUGGGGCUUUGCUGGCUUCAAUUGGCACGGCAAAGAGGAGAAGCAGCUUCGCUUGGUGGUCUUCAACUCGGCUUUGUUGACCGAACAAAGAGCAGACGCUGCCAAGUGGCAGUAAGGCAAGGCUGCUCGGUCAACCAAAGGCUUCACUUGUUACUGUUGUUGACUGAAGGAGCCGAGCUUGGAUGUGUGGAGAAGCUGAGUGGGUCGGUGGGCGUGCUGACGUGAGGAAUUCGGACAAAGCAGGGGAGAGGGUGUCGUGGACGAUGGUAACACAGGCCACGGAGCUACUGGAAUUGAAGCAAUUUAGUGGCAGAGGACUUGUAGGUGAGACGGUUUUGCUGGCUUCAUGGAUUGCAAACAAAGAAAGAGUUGGGACGACUUCAGCGAGGUAAAAUGAAAGAAAAGCAGGGUAGACCGUGGGACUUUGGGGCGUGCGGAUGAGCUGUUGUCGUCCACGCACAAGGGAGACCGGCGGGGAUAAGGAUAAAGAAAAAUCAAGAAGAUGAUCCAAAUUCCAUAAAUGCUUGCUCCCACAAGUCUUCAAUAAUAUCUUGUAUGUCCCCUAAUACUUUCUUGCUCAAUAAUACCAUAAAAUAAAC